CCUACGGGAGGCAGCAGUGAGGAAUAUUGGUCAAUGGACGAGAGUCUGAACCAGCCAAGUAGCGUGAAGGAUGACUGCCCUAUGGGUUGUAAACUUCUUUUAUAUGGGAAUAAAAUGUUCCACGUGUGGGAUUUUGUAUGUACCCUAUGAAUAAGGAUCGGCUAACUCCGUGCCAGCAGCCGCGGUAAUACGGAGGAUCCGAGCGUUAUCCGGAUUUAUUGGGUUUAAAGGGAGCGUAGGUGGGUUGUUAAGUCAGUUGUGAAAGUUUGCGGCUCAACCGUAAAAUUGCCGUUGAAACUGGCAGUCUUGAGGACAGUAGAGGUGGGCGGAAUUCGUGGUGUAGCGGUGAAAUGCUUAGAUAUCACGAAGAACUCCGAUUGCGAAGGCAGCUCACUGGACUGCAACUGACACUGAGGCUCGAAAGUGUGGGGAUCAAACAGGAUUAGAUACCCUUGUAGUC
rnacentral:rRNA from 1 species